UGCGUAGGUGGCGCUGUAAGUCGGGUGUGAAAUUUCGGAGCUUAACUCCGAAACUGCAUUCGAUACUGCGGUGCUUGAGGACUGGAGAGGAGACUGGAAUUCAUGGUGUAGCAGUGAAAUGCGUAGAGAUCAUGAGGAAGACCAGUGGCGAAGGCGAGUCUCUGGACAGCAACUGACGCUGAGGCACGAAGGCCAGGGGAGCAAACG
rnacentral:rRNA from 1 species